UACGUAGGGGGCUAGCGUUGUCCGGAUUUAUUGGGCGUAAAGAGCGUGUAGGCGGCCAGGUAGGUCUGCUGUGAAAACUCGAGGCUUAACCUCGAGAUGUCGGCUGAAACCCUCUGGCUAGAGUCCGGAAGAGGAGAGCGGAAUUCCUGGUGUAGCGGUGAAAUGCGCAGAUAUCAGGAAGAACACCCGUGGCGAAGGCGGCUCUCUGGGACGGUACUGACGCUGAGACGCGAAAGCGUGGGGAGCGAACAGG
rnacentral:rRNA from 1 species